rnacentral:rRNA from 1 species
GAUGAACGCUGGCGGCGUGCCUAAUACAUGCAAGUCGAGCGAACGGACGAGAAGCUUGCUUCUCUGAUGUUAGCGGCGGACGGGUGAGUAACACGUGGAUAACCUACCUAUAAGACUGGGAUAACUUCGGGAAACCGGAGCUAAUACCGGAUAAUAUUUUGAACCGCAUGGUUCAAAAGUGAAAGACGGUCUUGCUGUCCCUUAUAGAUGGAUCCGCGCUGCAUUAGCUAGUUGGUAAGGUAACGGCUUACCAAGGCAACGAUGCAUAGCCGACCUGAGAGGGUGAUCGGCCACACUGGAACUGAGACACGGUCCAGACUCCUACGGGAGGCAGCAGUAGGGAAUCUUCCGCAAUGGGCGAAAGCCUGACGGAGCAACGCCGCGUGAGUGAUGAAGGUCUUCGGAUCGUAAAACUCUGUUAUUAGGGAAGAACAUAUGUGUAAGUAACUGUGCACAUCUUGACGGUACCUAAUCAGAAAGCCACGGCUAACUACGUG